ACGAGCAGCAGCGCCGCCACCGCCACCAGCGCGAGGCCAUGGUCCGAGUCUGAAAGUCGCGGCGGCGGCGGCGGCUCCGCCUAUGGCCCGGGGUGGGGGGGGGUCCUCCUCCCGGGACCCGGAGCCGGAAGCCGGACACAGGAAGCGCUUCCCCCCGCCCGGCCGCGCCGCCUCUUCCCGCUCCUCCCCGGAGCGCUCUCGGGCCUGGGGUCAGGGGCAGGAGAAGGGGCGCGCCCAGGGGGAGAAGGAGCGGGGUGUCCCCAGGAGGAGUGGGGGCCGUGCGCCCAGGAGAAGAGGGUGCGCCCAGGGGGAGGAAAAAGAGGUGGCGGCUGGCUCCUGCGCUUCUCUCCCUCCCUGGGGCCGGCCAGGGGGGAGUUCUCUCUUCCUAACCUCGUCCUGCCGCUUGCGGCGAUCCAUGAACUAAAAGAGGGACCGCAAGGAUGGACCCCCUGGGGACCGGCUGUUAGCCAGGAGCCCCCCAGCGCGCCAGGCUCCCAGGCUCUCGUGUCCUGCGUGUUUAAGCGGAAACAUGGCCCAGAGAAACCGGUUCCCGUUCGGCGGCCUCCUCCGGAGGCUACAGUUGACUUGUGUGUGUAUCUUGGGUGUGGCCGGUCGCGCCGCGGUCAACUGCCUGCUGCAGCCUGUCCUGGAAGGAAGUGCCGACCUCGGGCGUCUUUACGGGAACGAGUCCACACCCCAUCAGGGCUCUUGUGAAACAGAAGCUAAACUAGCCUCGUCUUUCGAUUUUUGGACUCUUUCCUCUGAAGACCUUAUAGCUGUGUUGCCAGUUGAUCCUGUUAAAGAAAAUUAUGUUCGUAAAGUGAAAAACUGCAUUUUUUCCGUUGUCUUCCCUACUCCUUUCAAAUCAAGAGUACGCCUUGUAGCAGUUUCAAAGGAAGUUCUAGAAGAUAUUUUGGACCUUGAUUUAUCUGUCUCAGAAACAGAUGACUUUAUCCAGCUUGUAAGUGGUGAAAAGAUAGUAUUUGGAUCCGUUCCAUUGGCUCAUAGAUACGGUGGCCACCAGUUUGGAAUAUGGGCAGAUCAGCUUGGGGAUGGAAGAGCUCACCUUCUUGGAAUUCAUAUGAACAGGCGGGGCGAAAAGUGGGAGCUCCAGUUAAAAGGUUCAGGAAAGACCCCCUACUCCCGAAGUGGAGAUGGUAGAGCCGUACUUCGUUCCUCAGUGAGAGAAUUUUUGGGCAGUGAGGCUAUGUACUACCUUGGGAUUCCGACUAGCAGAGCUGCCAGCCUGGUUAUAAGUGAUGAUGAAGUAUGGAGAGAUCAGUUCUACAAUGGAAACAUUGUGAAAGAACGAGGGGCAGUAGUGCUGCGUGUUGCAAAAUCAUGGUUUAGAAUUGGAUCAUUAGAAAUUUUGGCUCAUUAUGGUGAACUGGAUUUACUAAGAACGUUAUUAGACUUCGUCAUACAGGAACAUUUUCCCUCAGUCAAUGCCAAAGGACCUAACAGAUUCGUGGAUUUUUUUUCUACUGUGGUGUCUGAGACUGCACGACUUAUUGCCUUGUGGAUGUCUGUUGGUUUUGCGCAUGGUGUUUGUAAUACUGAUAACUUCAGUUUGUUAUCCAUUACAAUUGACUACGGUCCAUUUGGUUUCAUGGAGGCCUAUAAUCCAGAUUUUGUACCAAAUACAUCUGAUGAUGAAAGAAGGUAUAAAAUAGGAAACCAGGCAAAUAUUGGGAUGUUUAACUUAAGCAAGUUGUUACAAGCUCUAAACCCAUUACUGGAUCAUACACAAAAGCAGCUAGCUGCUCAGAUUCUUGAGGGGUACCCUGUUCUUUAUUACACAAGAUUUAGAGAAUUGUUUAAAGCCAAAUUGGGAUUACUUGGAGAAAAGGAGGGUGAUGAUGAAUUAAUUGCGUUUCUGUUGCAUCUCAUGGAAGAGGCAGAAGCUGAUUUUACAAUGACAUUUUGGCAGCUCAGUGAGAUUACUCAACUCCAGUUGCUAGAGCUCAACAUUCCUCAGCAAUUCUGGGCACUGAAGAGGAUUUCAGAGCACGAACUCUUCCCUGCCUGGGUGUCCGGGUACCUCCUGCGACUGACGGGUAACAUGAAUGACUCAGAUUCUGAAAGAAGAAAAAGAAUGACAACAUGGAUUUAGUUGCCAGUCGCUUCUGCCACUUGGACACAUGUACAGAAUUUAUAGACGAGCCCAGAAUAUGGACAAUCCCAGCAGGAAAGAGAAAGAAGAAGUCGGAAGAAGAAAAUGAGUCAGUGGUCUUUAAUACUUGGCUUUCUUUGGUUAUGACAGGUCAGAUGACGUUAAAAUGAAAGAAAUUUAGGGAGCUCAAGGCUGAGCUUUGCUUCAUAAUGAUGGUUAUGACAAUGAUUUUUUUUUAAACUAAAUCUAAAAAGUUGUGUGAUCAGCACCACAAUCCAAUUUUAGAUCAUUUCUAUCCUAUUAUCCUCUCUUAACUUAUGUUUCCUCAUCUAUGAAAUGUAUUUACGUCAUGGUUUGUUCCAUACAAAUUCAAUGAGAUAGUGGCUGGCAAAUAAUAGGUACUCAGUAAAUAUUUGCUAUUUUAUUUUAGUGGAGAUUAAAUAUACUUGUUGCAGGGAAGUUAGAGGCACUGGGAUUGCCGCUAUGUAUCAUCUAAAAAACAGAUUAAAAAUCAAUAGUAUAUUAAGGGAAGAUGUGCUAUUGAAAUUUUUAGAAAUGUUCCAAGAUGCAAAUAAUGGGAGCGUUAAGGUAAGUGUUUUAAAGGUUCUUUUAGAAAUAUAUUUGUAAAAAAACACUCAAUAUCCAUUUUCUUAGGCCUCCAUUUAACUCUGAGAUCGUAAACUAGCAAAGGACAUUGUUAAUUUCUCUUUCAGGCUGCACAGUGCCCAGCCCAGGAUCACGUUAAACUGUGUUUAAUGAAUGCUUUUGAUUACUGUGAUGCCCAGGAAAACCGUGGUGGUUUCAAAUUUAAAGAUGCUGAUGUUUCUCAUGGUGUUUAUCACUGUGGCCAUAAAGAUGACAGAGGAAAUGGGCCUUUCUGCAGUUUUUAAUGGAAAGAAUAAGAUCAUUAGGAUUCCAAGAGGAAAGAGUUGUGAUGUCCCCAAAUGAAAUAUUUCUAUUUAUUUAAAGCAUGUUAUCUUAGUAGAUCCAGCAUUAUAUGAAGGGCUUUAGGUUACCAGGGAGGAAAAACAAAAAACCCAAUAAACAAAAGCCCUAGAAUAUCUGCAUCUGCAAUGCAAUUAGGUUGGCUGUAAUUCUAAAAAAUUGUCAGCAUAGUUCUCCUGCUUUUCCUGGUGCCUGCUGUGGGCCUAGUAGAGAAUUUGUGGCAGACGAUCAAAGACAUUUUCCACGUGAUGCUUCAAGUUACUUGGUCGCUGUGGCCAGCUGAUUGAAACACAGCUGUUGAGAGGUCAGUGCCAACCAAGCUGAGAUCGUGGGUUGGAGCCUGGCUGCUGAACCGACCCCGAGCCUAGCCCCAGACCUCCAGCCUGCCACCUUGCAAAUGGUACACGCUGGUCAUGAGGCAGGCAUUUCCUCCGUGUGCCGAGGACAGACACUCAACAGAAAUUAGGUCACGGUUUUAUAUUCUCCACCAUACCUCGGCAGAUCUUUAAAACCAGGUUAAAAUGGAAUGUUUGCGUUCCAUCUCUUCAAGUAACUCGGAAGCUGCUGGUGAGAAUCAUGAAACUGAGGGGUUUCUGUCAUCCCCUCAGACCUGCUGUUUUUCCAGUGGGGAGAGAGUACCCCCUGCUCCCCACCCUCUCAGCUGAUAAAUUGGUUUGGAAGAGGCUCAUCUAAAAUAAAGAUAUACUUUCUGGAAUUCUUCUAAAAAGUAUGCAUACUUUUGAAUAUGAAAAAUUGUGCACAACUGUCAAAACUACAGAUUUAUAAAGGAUUUUGCUUGCACAUGACCUUUUCUGUUUGGCCCGAGGCGGCAUUUCCUUUAAACACUCCUACUGGGUCAGACCUUUUCUCCCUGCUUGACGAUGGUAAAAGUGAGUCUAUUUUUCCCUCUCUGCUCAGGCUACAGCCCUAAUUCAGAUGAAUUAACUGCUUUCACCAUGCCUUAAAAAAUGCUCUGUGAACUGAAAAUGGAGAAGAUAAUAAAUUAAUGAUGAAACACUGAAAAGCAAAGCAUGAUAUUGACAUAAAAAAAAGUUUGUUUUGUACCACAAGAUAUAAAUGCUGUAUGUUGCUUAAAAAUGAUCAAAAUGGACUGAUACUGACAAUUGCUUCUCUUUUGAACCUUCCAGAAAAAUUCUUAAAGGUCAUCUGGUUUCAGUGGUGAGGAAAUAUGGCCUGUUUCGAUUUAGUAAUUUACUAUACCAAAAUGUACUUUUUCACCCUUGUUUAAGCUGUUAAUCCUAGAUAUGUGCUCAAGAACUGGAUGGCCGAAUCUGCUGUGCGAAAGGCACAAAUGAAUGAUUUUUCAGAGGUCCGUCUUCUCCAGCAGGUUCUUCGGGGUCCUUUCCAGAAGCAUUCCGCAGCCGAGAAGGCAGGCUACG